rnacentral:rRNA from 1 species
AACGAACGCUGGCGGCAGGCCUAACACAUGCAAGUCGAACGCCGUAGCAAUACGGAGUGGCAGACGGGUGAGUAACACGUGGGAACGUACCCUUCGGUUCGGGAUAACUCAGGGAAACUUGAGCUAAUACCGGAUACGUCCGAGAGGAGAAAGAUUUAUCGCCGAGGGAUCGGCCCGCGUCUGAUUAGCUUGUUGGUGAGGUAACGGCUCACCAAGGCGACGAUCAGUAGCUGGUCNGAGAGGAUGAUCAGCCACAUUGGGACUGAGACACGGCCCAAACUCCUACGGGAGGCAGCAGUGGGGAAUAUUGGACAAUGGGCGCAAGCCUGAUCCAGCCAUGCCGCGUGAGUGAUGAAGGCCCUAGGGUUGUAAAGCUCUUUUACCCGGGAAGAUAAUGACUGUACCGGGAGAAUAAGCCCGCUAACUUCGUGCCAGCCGCCGCCGUAAC